CCUCGCCUCCGCGCGGUUUCCAUUGAAGUCUUAAGAGCAAGCACCUUGGAGCUCCAGAUCUUCCACCACAUUCCACAGCUCUUCUUCCUCGCAGUUCUGACUAAACUCCUAGAGGACCGCUAAGCAUCUGGUUGCUGACAGAACACGGUCUGGACCCAGGGUGAUCAUGCCAACUGACUGGACUUCAACCCUGGAAGCUACAUCAUUGGCCCCAGAAGAUCCUGGGAGCUCCAGUGAGGGAUUAGUGUCCUUCAUGGAUGUGACUAUAGAUUUCAGCAGAGAGGAGUGGCAGCAUCUAGACCCUGCU
rnacentral:lncRNA from 1 species